UACGAAGGGGGCUAGCGUUGCUCGGAAUUACUGGGCGUAAAGGGCGCGUAGGCGGACAGUUUAGUCAGAGGUGAAAGCCCAGGGCUCAACCUUGGAAUUGCCUUUGAUACUGGCUGUCUUGAGUUCGGGAGAGGUGAGUGGAAUGCCGAGUGUAGAGGUGAGAUUCGUAGAUAUUCGGCGGAACACCAGUGGCGAAGGCGACUCACUGGCCCGAUACUGACGCUGAGGCGCGAAAGCGUGGGGAGCAAACAGG
rnacentral:rRNA from 1 species